GUGUUGUAUGAAAGGAAAGGAGGUUAGCACUCCCCUGGAUAAGGAUAGAAGAAGCAUUGGUCCUAACAACACACUGUUAAGGCAUUGCCACCUACUUCAUAGCAUCUAAACAUCAUUUUUGA